CUAGAACACCUGUACCGGGCACCUCUCACUUUACAAGUCUUGCAUCUGAUCCUUUAAGGUAUUUUAAUGCAUCGGUAAACAUGGGUGGAGUUUCAAGGAAGUUGACAUCAGUGGACCUAAUCUUCAAAUCGAAAGUAUUCUAGACAUUUCAAACUGCGUCACACUACCAGAAGAGAACAUAUUAUUAUGGUGUUGCAGAAAGAGGUAACUUUAAAGAGUGACAACAAUGGAAACAUCUACACCUAGCGAGCUGUCUAUGGAGAGUAAGAAGUCAAUGUGUCAAGUCUUCAUGUGGAGAAGCAAACAAGGAGCAUCAUCCCAUAUACCCAGCAUCCGGAUUUUCGAGGUAGAAGAUGACCUCUGCGGAAAUCCUGUCAUUAUCAAGCCUGCUGUUCAGGUUUACAGUUUGGAACCACAACUCCCUUAUUUCACGGGAAGAUCAAAGUCAAUGGAGGAAAGGAGCAACUUCUGAAGUUCUCCUUUCAUGUCCAGAUUUUGACAGAGCAUGCACUGUUAAUUCAUAAAAAAAAAAAAAAAUAACCCAGCUGCUUGCUUUUGGGAGAGUGACUCAUCAGUGGAGCUACAAGAUGUCUUGUCAAGGAAUUACAAGUGCAUGAAAAUGUCAAAAAUGGGGAUUUACAUGUAGCAUAAUUUACAGUAUGUUGUUAUAAGUCAUGUAUUUUUAGGGUUGCUUGCUAUGGAGGUUAGACAUAGUUUAAUGGAUAGCCUAUUGAUAGACAAACAGUUUGUGAAUUUGUGUUGAUAGACAGUUUAAAGCGACACUAAAGCACUUUUCCUCUGUCGUACGCACGCGAUUAGUUUAUCCAGCAAAUAGCAAUGUCCACAGACAAGGUAGAGUAUGUUGCAUGAUUUUGUCAUUUUUGUGAAAGUAUGAUGUGUUGCGACAUCAAGGCAAGUCAAAUUUGUAGUUUCUUAUGUCUCGUCUCAUCGAACUACAGGUAUGCUACCUGAUCUGGUAAAGUUACAUAAUGUGCUGUUAUAGCCGAUAGAGGGCCGCAAAGUGAAUGCAGAAGUGCCGUUCACCCUGUUACGAGUUGAUGAACUGCUGAAAUUAUUUUGGAAACAUUAUUUUAAGGUAUGAAGAACUCUUUAGUGUUUUCCUUCAGUGCGACCUGUUUGUACAUACCAUCCCGAUGUUUUUACGCGCACAUUGCGCCUGAAAUGAGCGCAAAAACGUUAGUAUCUGGCCCUCAGUGUUUUACAAUGCAAAAAAAAGGUCAGAACUCGGUGACACUACCAGAAAAUGCUCAAGACAGCACUAUACACUACUUGUGUAUACAGUAGUUAAUAUACUGUAGGCUACAUCUCAUCUGUGAACUGAACUAUUGCUGUUUAGAAUGUAUACACUUUAUAGACAUAUCUUUCAUGUCAUUACACUGUAUUGGUUUUGUGCAAGUUGAAUUUAAUGCCUGUCACUUCAAUAGCAUGUCAAAAAAUUAAACAUGCUAAACGUUCUUUUUUUCCUUUGGAAAUAUUGUUACCAAUAUUUUUAUUGUUAAAACUGGUAGCCUAUCAUUUUUUGGUUUCACAUUUGCUUUUUGCCAACAUGAGAAAAGCUGUCGAACAUUAACUGACAUAUUAUUGCAUUAAAGGAACUGUGAAAUGAAA